ACAUGGACCUAACUCUGCAAGUUGCAGUGCACUCAUUUCCUGUUAAUUUUAUCAGCAGCUGGGACCCCUCAGAACUUUGAAGCCAAAUUAUGCAAGGCCUGUUGGGAACCUUUGUGGCAGAGGAAAGAUUAUUUUCCUGUUGAUUGUCUCCGUGAUCUUGAGCUCAAAAGACUUUUUAUAGAAAACAGAGAAAUCCAAAAUGGAAUGUAUGAUCAAAUGGACAGAAAGGGGAAAGCAGUGUUUCAAUUUGAC
rnacentral:lncRNA from 1 species